rnacentral:rRNA from 1 species
GUUGGCGGCCAUAGCUGGGGGCUAGGACCCGUUCCCAUUCCGAAAGCCUCUAGGCCGGAAUCACGGAAGUGAAUCCCCCAGGCGAUCCAAGCGGUAGUGUGGUGCGAAAGCCCACGCGAAACUUGGACCGCCGCCAACU